GUUGAUAAUGUUUACUAAACAGACCCAGACUUGGGAGUGUCCUGAUAUCCCAGUAUCUUGAGAACAGAAGCAUUCUUAAUUUUGUUUUAAAGAUAACAUCAAUUCUUGCAAAAUAAUUAAGAAAAUUAACCCUUUAUCAUAAACCCUUGUAGCAGAGUACAUCUCCCCACAAUCUUUUUUUUAAUCCUAUAUAUAAACAGGAUUUAUCCUGCAUAUACCUAGGGAGGACAUGUUUCCCCUCUUACUUUCGAGAACGCCCGCUCUGUCUAUGAGUAGCUAUUCUUUCACCGCUUUACUUCCUUAAUAAACUUACUUUUGCUUUGCACUGUGGACUCGCCCUGAAUUCUUUCUUGCGGGAGAUCCAAGAACCCUCUUUUGGUGUCCGGAUUGGGACUCCUUUCCGGUAACAUCACUAUGUUGCCCAGGCUGGUCUUGAACUCCUGGCCUCAAACCAUCCUAUAGAUUCGACCUCCGAAAGUGCUGGGGUUACAGGCCUGAGCCACUGUGCCCAGCUGGAACAAUCUUUAUGAAGGUGAAUUAAAGCUGUGAGACAUGAGACCAGAAAAGAUGCACCAGGAGUAAUGGAUUUUGGUGGAGAAUGAGCCACAGAAACGCGAUCAUGAGGCAAAUGGUGGGGCCUAACCCUGCCUUCUCAGUCCUCGGGAUGGGAGACCUGGCUAGAGAAGAGAAGGCUGGUGUGAAAACGCCGGGAGGGUGAGUUUUGGUAAAAAUGGGGGCGUCUUCAGUUUCACUUGGCACCAAAAGGAAAAUUCAAUGCACAUUCUUUCCUGGAUGUCCAAAAGCCUAAUGAGGUUUUGCUUUCUUUGUCUUCUCUUUCCGGAGCCCUCAUCGAGCCUCAUUCUCAGCCACAUCGUAAGGAUUUAGAGGCCCUAAGCACUGACGACGCUGUGGUGCCACAAAAAUAGACAAGCAGGGCAUGUGCGCUGAAGCUGGAAGAGGCUUCUUCUAUAUUUUCAUUGCAAAAUCAGAACUUUGGUGAGUUUUUAAAAAAUGUUUUAAAAUGUUUGCGCCCCUGUUUUGCUGAUGCCCCUGGGAAUCCCAGCACGGCCUUUUCACCGACUGCUGCUUCUCGGUCUUCAUGAGAGCCCAGAGCUCUGUGCUCGGCUCUUUCCUGUCCUCCCGGGCUGGCCUUGUGCUUUCGUGACUGGGUCAGGCUCCUGGGCUCUGUGUCUGAUGCAAUCAGUGCCACCUGAAUGCCUGGGCGGCCUCAGCAUACGGGACUAGACCGGGCGGGGCCCUCGCGUGUGACACCAUGGCUGUUUCAGAUCCACCGCAAACCCCCGGCCCCAGUGCUGCCCCCGGUCCCCUCACACUCUGGAAAGAUUUGCCGGAGCCACUCUGUCCUUUUCUUUAGUGCAGCUGCUGGCUGAUAAACCUGCUCCUGCUCUCUCUAAGGCAAGGCCAAGCACAGCUCCUGUCCCCCAAGGGCAUGUGCCUUUGCACUGCCCGAGGCUGCUCCUUGGUCCCAAGUCCACAGUACUUUGCUUCUCAGGACAGUUUUCCAUUCUCAGGUAAGCACUCAGAGGAGCUCUCCCAGUGGCACAGUUCCAGGUCCACCUGAAUCCUUUCAGGAGGGACCUCGUCCCUCUGAAUGCUGGUGAUCACAUUUCAACACAAUUUAUGAAGUGCACCUCGUAGGAAAAACUUAGAAAGCCUUUCCAGAUCCACCAGGUAUAGGCACCCUUCUUUCUUUGCUUCAAAGAAACAAAGAUGGCAUUUAAGCAUGACAUUUAAACUCUUUGGGGUCUACUCUAGAGAAUUCCUCAUUGUUCUGGGUCAUCACCCAGGUAUCCAGGAGAUACACAUAUUGUUAAACUUCUGUUUGUUUUUCUCUUGUUAAUUUGCCUUUUGUUACAGAGAGACUCCCAGCUAGGAACCCAUGAAGUUGGAGGUUUAUGGGAAUGUCUAGAUAUAUUUAUAAAUCAUAAAAUUGUUAUUUUGCUACUCAACUUGUUCAGGAGAAGCAACAGUGUUGCAGAAAGAGGCCCAGAGUGGGGACAGCAAUCCCAAUUCUGCAACCAAUGGGCUCUGUCACUGUGGGGCCUUUCCAUGCCUCUGCCUCCUCAUCUGAAAAUGAGCGGGUUGGAUAGAUUUUUCACUACUGUUCCUUUAAGUUCUAUCAUGCGGAGGUUUUUUACAUUGCUACCUUCUUAUGUGACAUAGUUUUGCAAUUAAGAACUCCCAAGUUCCUCUUUGCAGUUGGUAUUUGAGAUGUUAAGAAUGGAAACGCUGAUCCCCUCAGACCCGCUUUGCAGAUAACCCUGCAUUUUACCGAGAUGUCAAAGCAGGAAGUGCUUGGCUGGAACAUCUGCCGACAGCCUCAUCUCUUUCUGCAAGAUCAUGAUGUUCUGCAUGCUCCUGUGGCCUCUUAUUUCACGUUGCUCUCCCUGCAAAUUUUGAAACAACUUUAAAGAUGAAUAAAAAGCAGCUCAGCAAGUGAAUCCCAGAUCCCGGUAAGAGAGUGUCUCCCCCAACUCACAUAGUGAGUGCGCAUCAUUCCCAGAACCACCGUGAGAGUGAGCCUGGUAGCGGGUAGCACCCUGCCUGUGACGAAGCCAGCACACUAUGACGAGCAGCAGCUUCUAGACCCAUGGACCACGGGCACUGCCAACGCUCUCCCUCCGGGGACUCCUCCUGCCUCCCAUACAGGGCCAAAUUCCGACGCCCACGAGCUCGCUCAGAAUUGGCUCAGGCUGCAAUCACUUCUCUUCUCCUACCUCCACACCAUUCCCUGAUGGUGGACAGUUUCUCCUUUGAGAACCACACCUGCCUUUUCAGACAAAAGGAGACAGCACCCACCCUCCUGCUGAGGGCUGCUCCCCUGGGGCCUUCUCAGCACACCUCUCUCUCUCUAGGUCAAAAAACAAACUUCACAUGCUGAAUUUUUACCUUUUUUAAAGUGACUCCGAAUUUUGGCACCAGCAAUUAAUUCAACACUUGAAUAAGAUUUGAAAACCUCACAACAAAUCACAAAUAUAUUAUGGGUCCUGUUGAA